rnacentral:rRNA from 1 species
UACGUAGGGGCAAGCGUUGUCCGGAAUCAUUGGGCGUAAAGCGCGUGUAGGCGGUUCGGUAAGUCUGCUGUGAAAGUCCAGGGCUCAACCCUGGGAUGCCGGUGGAUACUGUCGAACUAGAGUACGGAAGAGGCGAGUGGAAUUCCCGGUGUAGCGGUGAAAUGCGCAGAUAUCGGGAGGAACACCAAUUGCGAAGGCAGCUCGCUGGACGUCACUGACGCUGAGACGCGAAAGCGUGGGAGCAAACAGG